rnacentral:lncRNA from 1 species
GAUUAGUAUGGAAAUGAACGCUAUCACGAUCUAUACAUUUAAUGUAAGUGAGCCAUUAGUUUGUCUCUAAAUUUGCAUGAAGAAGGGAAAAAUUGUUCAGAAAUUUCAGUAUUUAUAAGGUUAAAACAAACGAGAAAAACAAUAAGUUCUGAGACCAGGGACAAAAUUGUUUCCUUAGUAUUUUUUCAUAGAAUAGUGAAUAACAUGAACAUGUAUAAUCAACAAUAUCCUCGGAUUGAAGGCAGUGGUGAGUUGAUAUUUUAUGGGAGUAUCAUUUAAGUCCCUUGUGGAGGUCUUAAAUAUUGAGUUAAAGAAU